rnacentral:rRNA from 1 species
GUCUACAGCCAUGCUACCCUAAACAAGCCCAAUCUUGUCUGAUCUCAGAAGCUAAGCAGGGUCAGGCCUGGUUAGUACUUGGAUGGGAGAUCACCUAGGAAGACCAGGUGCUAUAGGCA